UCGGUGCUUGCACUGAUCCGAUCGAGUGGCGGACGGGUGAGUAACGCGUGGGUAACCUGCCUCAUACAGGGGAAUAACAGUUGGAAACGGCUGCUAAAACCGCAUAAGCGCACGGUAUCGCAUGAUACAGUGUGAAAAACUCCGGUGGUAUGAGAUGGACCCGCGUCUGAUUAGCUAGUUGGUGAGGUAACGGCCCACCAAGGCGACGAUCAGUAGCCGGCCUGAGAGGGUGAACGGCCACAUUGGGACUGAGACACGGCCCAAACUCC
rnacentral:rRNA from 1 species